rnacentral:rRNA from 1 species
GACGAACGCUGGCGGCGUGCUUAACACAUGCAAGUCGAACGGUGAAGCGCCUUCCUUUUUGGUGUGUGGGUAGGGGUGGCGAGCGGGUUAGUAACACGUGAGUAACCUUCUCCCUCCUGCUGGAUAACCGCAUGAAAGUGUUGCUAAUACGGGAUAUUCUGGGCCUGUCGCAUGAUGGGUCUGGGAGAGUUAUUGUUUCGGUGUGGGAUGGGCUCGCGGCCUAUCAGCUUGUUGGUGGGGUGAUGGCCUACCAAGGCGGUGACGGGUAGCCGGCCUGGGAGGGUCGACGGCCCUGGAAGGGAGGAGAGGUCGAGACGACUACGGGGGGCAGCAGUAGGGAAGAUUAGUGCACAGGGGGAGGCCGGAUGAUGCAGCGCCGCGGGGUGGGGGAUGGACUCCGGAGGGUUGUGAACUUUUUUCGGGAGAGAAGAAGGGCGGACUCGUUUGUGGGUGUGUUGACGGUAGCUGAAUAAGAAGCGCCGGCUAACUACGUG